rnacentral:rRNA from 1 species
GAAGCUGGAUUCGCUAGUAAUCGCGCAUCAGCCACGGCGCGGUGAAUACGUUCCCGGGCCUUGUACACACCGCCCGUCAAGCCAUGGAAGCCGGGAGUGCCUGAAGUGCGUGAGCGCAAGCAGCGCCCUAAGGUAAAACCGGUGACUGGGGCUAAGUCGUAACAAGGUAGC